AGCCAUGCGAGUCAACGCCGCAAGGCGUGGCAUACGGCUCAGUAACACGUAGUCAACAUGCCCAAGGGACGUGGAUAACCUCGGGAAACUGAGGAUAAACCGCGAUAGGCCAAGAUUUCUGGAAUGGAUCAUGGCUGAAAUCUAUAUGGCCCUUGGAUUGGACUGCGGCCGAUCAGGCUGUUGGUGAGGUAAUGGCCCACCAAACCUGUAACCGGUACGGGCUUUGAGAGGAGGAGCCCGGAGAUGGGCACUGAGACAAGGGCCCAGGCCCUAUGGGGCGCAGCAGGCGCGAAACCUCUGCAAUAGGCGAAAGCUUGACGGGGUUACUCUGAGUGAUCUCCGAUAAGGAGACCUUUUGGCAUCUCUAAAAAUGAUGCAGAAUAAGGGGUGGGCAAGUCUGGUGUCAGCCGCCGCGGUAAUACCAGCACCCCGAGUGGUCGGGACGAUUAUUGGGCCUAAAGCAUCCGUAGCCGGUUCUGCAAGUCUUCCGUUAAAUCCAGCUGCUCAACAGAUGGGCUGCGGGAGAUACUACAGAGCUAGGAGGCGGGAGAGGCAAGCGGUACUCAGUGGGUAGGGGUAAAAUCCGUU
rnacentral:rRNA from 1 species